CUCCCCUCCACCCUGCUGUACAUGCGCAUGCUCACACACACACACACUGGAACCACCUGGCUGCAUCCGAGACAUUAAGGCAUUUUGAGGACACAACAUUGUUUGAGGUCAAAUCAGACCUUCGUAACAGGCUGCAAGGAGAGCACCUGGCUGCCUGCCUCAGCGUCUCCACCAAUGGGCCGAGCCCACAAGAAUUCAACUACAAAAGGGCAUUAGAACUGUUUUUCUCAAAGCUCAGGAAAUGUCCAAAUUCAGGGUGCAAAGUUUGCCAAUCGGGAUGUAGGGAGAGUUGAUCAAUACUAUGUCCUCCUCAUCCAGUCUAUUGUUUUUGUUUUCUAAAAAAUAAAACGGUUCAACACAGGUAACCACUUUUGCUUAAUUUCUUUGAUGGCUCAAAUGUAUGCUCUAGUCGAUUUUGUGUUUUGACCAUUUGUGAACCACGUUAAACUCCGUCACGUUUAUCAUGCUUUGUGGGUGUGACUUUUUUUUGUCGUGUCAUCACCAUUCAUAUCUAUGCAGCCAAUGUGUUUAUGAUCAAAUUACUACUUGAGCACAAAAUUGUUUACAAGAGCACGAAGUUCUUCAUAGAUCUAGCUUCUUACUUUUGUUCUCAAAGUGCACCAGAUUGAUGCAUUUAACUUAAAAAAUGUACAAAAUGUUCUUACAGGGAAGCACGCCCCUGGAUCCCCCUAGAGGGUCAGAAGUCCACCCACCACAGUCUCACAAAUUCCUGUGGGAAACACUGCUAUAAUCUGAUUAUAUACUUGAUUAUAUGAUUAUAUACUACCUGAAACAUAAUUUGACCUGAAAGUUACAGGCUAUUUUUUUCUGUGAACUUCAUAAUCUUGAACGUUUAAACUCAUCUCCAAUCUACAGCUCUCUUAUACCACAGACUAAACAUUAUAACAUGUAAUGCUUCUGCCACUUUAAGCAAAGUUUUUUUUUUUUUUUUUUUUUUUUUUUUUUUAAUGUAUUAUUGCAAAAUAGAUAUUAUAAAAUACAAUACAUGACCUCAUCAUACACAGCAGGUCAUGCCAAAACAUCCCUGGUCAAAAAAAAAAAAGCAGAAAAAGUUAAUUAAAAGAUAUCAAAAUCGGGUACUGGAGGGCUGCAGGGGUAUUCUUCCUCUUUUCUUAACAAACCAAACCAAAUACAGCCCACGAAAGAUGUAAGGAUUCUUCGGGAUAUUCGAUGAGGCACAAUGACAGUUCAAUGCAAGUCUGUCACCAAUGGACUAAUUAGUGAAAAUUUUUACAGCAAUACCAUCUGUUAGGUUAAUCAUUAAUAUUUUUUUUUUAUAAUAAAUCCCUGUGCUCAUGCUUCUGUAGAUCACCCAUGCAGACAGGAGCAUAUCACA